AGUUGUUUUUUCAUGUACAGUUGAUUAUUUAUCAUAUAUAGGCUUUAUAACUUCUUCCAAACUGCUUUUCCCGAAUCUUCAUUUAUCACGGUGUGAAUAAUUUCGCCACCUAAGUUUAGGAGAAUCUCGUUGGUAACUUUUGCUUCAAGCUCUUCCCAUUCAACAUCUUCCAGCUUCUUAGGCUUAUUCUCCUUCUUGAAAAAAGCCUUAGAGACUCCUUGUUGGGGUUUAGGAUAUCUCCCAUUCACCGCUGCCACAUAGAGAAGUUAUUCUUACUGUAGACAUCAUAUUUUGAUCGGUCAUAAUUUUUAGGUCUAUCGAUGGAUUGUUAGUCGUUGACAAAAAACUGAGCAUGAUGAAUUAUAUGAGCGAAUGGAAUGUAUGAUUUGUCUCGAGGAACCGAUCACUUUUUUUUUAGGAUGAGAGAAUGUGAAUAUUUUAGGGUGAAUAGGUUUUAAAAGGGCGUCAUGCGAAACAAUUUACUUUCAGAUCUUUUUCAACAAUCAAAACUCUGUAGUUUUUAAAAAUGGUUUCAUAAUAUUGUAUUACUUCUAAAGGGAUUUCCAACUAUAUAAAAUGGGUUUUCACCCAAUGUCAAACAAAUGAGAUAUAAUUUUUUUUACGAAAGUCGCGUAAUUUCUGACAUACUGAUGGUAAAAUGGUCAUAUGUCCUAAUUUAUAAAUUAUAUAGGCUUUAUUUUAAUUGUUAUUGAAAGUAGGAUUAUAGAUCUUUCCAACGAUAUAAAGAACACACAAACCGGAUUUCGGACGAACUCGGGAUGAGCCUACGAAUUUUGGGCUUCUUAGAGUGUCGGGAUGACACUGUAUACGAGGAGCCGGAUUUCAAUUUUUAUGGGUUUUUAGUUAUUUUCUUCUUCAAAGAAACAUAAUAUUCGACUUUAUUAUAAGCCCUAAACCGCCCCAAAGACUUGCUACUGUCAAAAUUCUUUUAUGGGUUUUUGCAUGUUCCAUUUAAUUAUGUAAUUAAUUAUUCAUUGAUCAUACAAAAGGGAUUCAAUAUUUAAUUAAAAUAAAUUUAAAAAUGUUGUUUAAAGGCUAACAAUAGUGGUUAUGCCGAGUGGGUGUCUCACACUUUUUUAUUGGGUACCAUAGCCCUGACCCAUUUUUAAAUAUAAAAAGGAUUGUGCUUAUCCACAUAGUUAGUAUAUUAUAUGAUUUUCUAGUAUCAAUAGCUAAGUGACGACUCAAAUUGGACCUUUUGUCUAUGAUCUUAGCCAUAAUUGUCAAACGAGAAUUGACGAAAAAGGCUAUAUAAUUAUGGAUCGUUGGUCUUACACGAUGAAUUUCUAUGAGCGAAAAUAUUUUCCUCCUCCAGUAUAUUUUUUUUAUAAAAAAAUAUAUAUAUUUUUGGGCCGUGGUGCUCACACUUAUCGGUGAACUUCUCAAUGAUCUCUCUCUGUGAUUCUAGCCCCUACUUCUCUAUACUAAACCAGAUCAUCCGUCUCUGAAAGAGCUCCUAAUUGUAGAGAAAUACAAAAUAAAAAAAUAAUAAAGAUGAAACAUUGUAGAGGAGUAAUUGAGUUUUGAAGAGUAAAUGAGUUAUAUGAAAAUAAAAAAGAAACAAAUAAAGAUGUGGGGUAAGAAUAAACACAAAUAAAUAAUAAAUGUUAUAAAAUCAUUUUUUAAGUGACUGAAAUACUCUAGACCCCAUUAGCGACAUAGUGAAACAUCCAAACAAAUCAAACUACAAACAAUGAUACUGAAAGUACCCAAAACCACACACAAAAAACUUAUUUUUUGAUUAAGUACAAUUUUUAAGGUUUUGUUCUAUGGAUAUUAUUAUGCAUAAAAACUUAUUAAAUUUAACUAUCUUGGAUUUACAAACAGAGAAAUACACAAAGUAUAGGGUGUGUAAUUGAAGAAAUUUAAUUUUCUAUUAAAUUGGACGAAAAACAUAACGUUCUCACUCUAGUCAAUAAUUCAGUAAUAUAAAUAUUUAAAAAUAAAGUUGAGAGGUACAAGUGAUAACACUCAAUGGACGGGGGUGUAAACGAACUCCCCCCCCCCCCCCCCCCCCCCCAUUCUUUACUCAAAACUCUCUGUCUGCCUGCCUCAUGCAAGCAUUGAUUGCAAAGUCCAACCAAAUCUUUUUCUUCUCUUGGCGUUCUCUUAAGUUGGAUUCACGCGGCAACCCAUUCCUUUAUCCUUGUGAUCCUCACACAUGCCACGUUUAUAGUUAUGGCUCUACAAAACCCCAAACCUUUGAAUUUUAUGCUUCUUUUCGAGGGAAUUUCCUUUUCCUUUUCCUUUUAUUUUAUUUAUUAAAAAGCAUCCUAUGCCUUGUUAUAAAAUCUUUUAUAAAGGCAAUGUUGUAAAAUUGUAUGAUCCUUUUAAAAUUUUGGAUUUAAUAUCCAUACCAAUUAGCUAAAUAAUUAAAAAUGGCAUGCCACCUUUUACUUCUAGAUAAAUUAAGCCGAUUUCCUUUUAAAUUUUUAACAAAUGUUUAUUAGUAUUGGCUCUGUGUUGUGCUAUGCUAUGC
rnacentral:lncRNA from 1 species